ensembl:snRNA U6 U6 spliceosomal RNA
GUGCUCACUUUGGCAGUACACAUACUGAAAAUUGUAGUGAUAACAGAGAAGAUUAGCAUGGGCCCUGUUCAAGGGUGACAUACAAAUUCAUGAAGCAGUCCAUAUUUUU